rnacentral:tRNA from 1 species
CCGACCUUAGCUCAGUUGGUAGAGCGGAGGACUGUAGUUGGUAAACAGAAAUCCUUAGGUCGCUGGUUCGAAUCCGGCAGGUCGGA